GUUCAUCAGAACCUCUGGGGAUCCUGUGGAUCCUGUGGGUUGCAGGGUGGGUCCUACCUAGACCAGGCUGAUCCUGGACCAUCCCACAGAUGCUCCAUCAGAUGUGGAUGUGGGGAGUGUGGAACCCAGAUGUUCAGAGGGAGAUGAUGCCACAUCUGGUCCAGCUGAUGGAAGGUCUUGAAGUUCUCUGACUGGCCUCGACUGAAGAUGGUCGUCUCACUGGAUUUAAGGUUCAGAUGCUCAGUAACAAACUCCACCAAUGAGCCAACAGGGAAGCUUUAGGUUUAUUAAAUGUUGCUAUGAAGGUUUCACUGUUUUUCUUUGUGAAUGCAAUGAGCUCCAACUGAAACUUGAAUUAGAACUUAGAAGUAAAUCCUUCCAUCUGAAAGGAUUUAGUUGCAUUAAUAACCUCAUAACAUUCUAAUUUUUAUUCCAGUCUUGGUUGGAAAUAGAAUCUCUGUAUUGAUUCAGGUAAAAACUGAACUUCACAGCAUGUUGGAGCAAAACAACCAGAUGAAAACUGUGAUGGUGUUGGAUUGUCAGACUGUAAUGUUGCAGCUCAAAGCAGCUUUUCUAUCUCAGUUCAUUCUGACAUUCAGCUAUGAAUCAACACAGCAGAUGGUGAUCCAUGCUGUGGAAGUCUCACAUCUCCUGAUUUAAUGGAGCUGCUUUGCACUUUUUACACUGUUUAUUCACCAACUCUUUAUUUAAUAAAAGUCCCAUCUAGUUUUUAUGAGGAAUGUGAUGUUUUAAUUUCUCUGUGAAUAACUGCAGUCUAAUGCAACAGCUGGAAUUGUAACAUCUGUCCUGAUAUUGAUCAUGAAGUAUUGAUCAGAAUACUCAUGGUCAGCAGUCAUCCCUGAAGUUUUACAUUCAAAUCAUUACUUGUGUUGUGAACUUUGGUAAGAAGCAGAAACUUUAGCGUUGCCAUGGAUACAGGAGUGUUAAAUUCUGUCCAUGUUUCCAUUUUGGGAAAUUCAGUCCAGCAGAUCAGUUUGUUUUUACUGCCAGCUACAUUCAGUCUGAGAUAUUAAGAAUAAAUAAAUGUGCAUAAUGUGGAAAUGAACAGAUUCUAUUUUUAUUUAUUCCUACAGCUGCUGCAGGUAAAGUUAUAGAAUGUGGAGGAAUUUAGUCUCACAAUCACAGACAAUAAAUAUUAUCUGAAAGUCGGAUUAUUGUUGUUUAUCAGCACAAUACAAAAAGAUUCAUGUUAGAAAUAUUCCAGUUAAGACUCUAGAAUAUCAGGAUUUAUGUAAAUUUACCUCAAUAAUAUGAAUGUUCAGGUUGUGCAGUGAUAUUUAUUAUGUGAGUUUAGCUGAUAAAAGUUUAUUAUUUAAAUUGACAUCAUUAUUAUAAUAUUUAAGAUCAGACUCUACAGUAUUGAGAUUAAGAAAUCAAAUAUUCUAUAAAAUGUAAAUACACUGAACUCAUUUGGAUCUAUUUAAGUGAGACUCUACAAUAUUAUUUAUGACACAAAUCUAUCUAAAUCAACAUUUUAAUCAUUUUUACUCCAAACAUUUACUGGACUGAUUUAAACAUUAAAAUCACUUCUUUCUAAUCCUCUGCUGUACGUUCAAACCUGAGGCCUUAAAUAGAAACACACAAGUAUCUGAUUGAAGGAACUUCUGCAGAGUCCUGGUUCCAGAACAUGAUGAUAGAAUUAUAGACAAACUUUAACAAAAGCUGCCUGAGAGUUUACAGGUUUUUAUGUUAGAUUUCUUCAGUAAUUUAAUGAGAGUUAUCAGCAAAAAUCAAGUGUUCAUUUGAUGAACUUCAUUUCUUAAAACAUCCAGAAUUGGAGCUCAUAUCUUUGGCAGCUGUAAAGUUUCUGCUCCUUCAAAGUUCACAACACAAUGAAUGAAUUCCUAAAACACUCUCAAUGCUGGAGAGCUUUUGAUGCUGAAGCAGUGAUCAGUUUUUCUGUUUCUUCUCUGGAGAUGCACAAUGAGGGACGUCUGCAGAGACUGAGAAAGAGUCUCACCACAUCCUGACAUGAGGAAAAAGACUUUAUUGAAGACUACAAUGAGAAAAACUAUCAGACAGCAGACGGCUGCAUUCAAGUCUGUAGCUGCUGAAUUCAUGGAUGGAUCAUCUGGCACUAGAGAGGAAGACCAUCAAACAUCCACGUCAGCUGAUGGAGGUCCAAGAGUCUCACCCAACAAACAACCUACAGAGUGAAGACCUCCAAUCUGAUUGGACGGCCUCCUAUUCAGCCACAUUUUAGGCUGUUAGAUUGUUCCAGAUAAGACAAGUACAAGAUUCUUCAGAGCCGUUCUACCACGAGCCUGACAGGAAGAACUCCAACAGCUACUGAAUGUUCCUGUGGUUCCCUCAAGGCUACAGGAGGAGCCCUACGAGGACGAGCUGGUCCACCUGAUGGAGGCCAGUCGCUGCGGUUCAAAGCCAACACCGACUACGUGGACUUCUACUGGACCACAUGGAGGCCUUCAAACCGGACCAACAAGUUCAGCGACUCCCCGACUCGUGGGUCUGAGGACGCCGCCGAGCCUCGGUCCAGCCGGCCUCCUGUCUGUGGGUGUUUGAGUGCUGAGAGGUUUGUGGAUGCAUGUGAACGUUCUGUGUUGAAACAGCAGCUUUGGACUCAGUAACACCGGGAAAAACCAAGAGCUCCUUUAUUUGUGACUUCCACUAAAAAAACUGAUGAAAAUAAGUUUACCAGGGUUCUGACUGAUAACAGAUUAUUAAAUAAUGAAAAUAAUCCUUUAAAUAUUCCUUUAAACAAUCCUUUUAGGUCUACAUUUCCUUUACGCUGACUUCUUGGUAAAUGUACAAGUAUUUUGGGUGGAAUAUACCAUUAAGCCCAAUGUUCAAGGGUUCUUCUGGGAAUAUACCAUUAAACCAACCUUUUAGGUAAAUGUUCCAGGAUGUUGGGUAGAAUAUACCAUCAGAUCAACCUUUUAGGUCUACAUUGGAAGAUUUUAGAGUAGAAUAUUACUCCAAACCAUCCUUUAGGUCUACAUUUAAGGUGGAAUACUCCUUUACACCAAGAUUUUUUGGUCUACAUUGAAGGAUUUUAGGUGGAAUAUUCCUUUGAACAAACUUUUUAAGUUUAUGUUCCAGGAUGUUGGGUGGAAUUUACCAUCAGACCAACCUCCAAGGUCUACAGUAGUGAAUUUUAGGUGGAAUAUACCAUUAAACUCACCUUUUAGGUCUACAUUGGAGGAUUUUAGGUGGAAUUUUCUUCCAAACCAUCUUUUAGUCUACAUUUAAGGAUGUUUAGGAUUGUAUAUUCUUCCAAACCAACUUCUCAGGUCUACAUUUCAGGUGGAAUAUUCCUCCAUACUAACUUUUUUGGUCUACAUUGAAGGAUUUUUUCUAAACCACCCUUUGGGGUCUAUAUUUGAGGUUUUAGGUGGAAUAUUCCUUUCAACCAGCCCCUCAGGUCUCUUUGAGGAUUUUGGAUGGAAUACUCUGUUAAACCAACAUUUUAGGUGCAUGUCCAAGGAUUUUUGGUGGAAUGUUCCUUUAAAGUGGAUGUUUGAGGACCUUGUCGGUGGAAUACUUCCUGAAACCAACCUUUUAGGUCAACAUUCAAAGAUUUAAGGUGGAAUAUUCCUUUAAACCAACCUAAAUUUCAUGUUUUGAUCAUUAUCAAGUGAGAAACCUCAAUCCAGACUCCUCAUAAUGACAUUUGAGAUUUAUGCUGCUGUUAUUUGUUUAGUCCAGACUAAAUGACAGAAAUCCACAACUGUAAUUUUAUUUCAGGACUCUGUUAUUGAAUGUCAAAACAAUCCAUGUGACUCUAAAAACUCAACAGC
ensembl:lncRNA